CACCAUUAGAACCUUAUGGAAACCAUGGAGACGCUGUAGUUACUGUACCUCUGUCAGACUGGAGUGGACUCCUAUGAGGAAGGGCAUCGGAGCACUGAGAGACAGACAGACAGAGAGAGGUUGAGUGCUUUAACAUAUACAUAUCUGUGUGUGUGUGUGUGUUCUCUCUCUCUGACCAGCAGUAAUCCAGUAGGUGUGUGCGUGUGUGUGUGUUUUCUCUCUCUCUGACCAGCAGUAGUCCAGUAGGUGUGUGUGUGUUCUCUCUCUCUCUGACCAGCAGUAGUCCAGUAGGUGUGUAUGUGUGUGUGUGUGUGUGUGUGUGUGUGUGUGUGUGUUCUCUCUCUCUGACCAGCAGUAGUCCAGUAGGUGUGUGUGUGUGUUCUCUCUCUCUGAUCAGCAGUAGUCCAGUAGGUGUGUGUGUGUGUGUUUUCUCUCUCUCUGACCAGCAGUAGUCCAGUAGGUGUGUGUGUGUGUUCUCUCUCUCUGAUCAGCAGUAGUCCAGUAGGUGUGUGUGUGUGUGUUUUCUCUCUCUCUGACCAGCAGUAGUCCAGUAGGUGUGUGUGUGUGUGUUUUCUCUCUCUCUGACCAGCAGUAGUCCAGUAGGUGUGGGGGCAGGACAGGUAUGAAGAUGUGUUGCCAGUACAUGGGGUAGAGCACAGCACUGAGGGCAUG